rnacentral:tRNA from 1 species
GGUUGUGGCUCAGUGGCAGAGCACUUGCCUAGCAUGUAUGAGGCACUGGGUUCGAUCCCUGGCACUG